GCAGAGUCUUGCUCUGUUGCCCAGGCUGUAGUGCAGUGGUGCAAUCUCAGCUCCCUGCAACCUCUACCUCCUGGGUUCAAGCAAUUCUCCUGCCUCAGCCCUUGAGUAGCUAGGAUUACAGGCACGUGCCACCAUGUCAGGCUAAUUUUUGUAUGUUUAGUAGAGACGGGGUUUCACCAUUUUGGCCAGGCUGGUCUUGAACUCCUGACCUUGUGAUCCACCUGCCUUGGCCUCCCAAAGUGCUGGGAUUACAGGCAUGAGCCACCAUGCCCCGCUGGAAUAUUGACUUCUAUACAGGCAGGGGAAGAUGGGGAACAUUAUACAACUAAAGAUUUUUUUUUUUUUGAGGUGGAGAAUGUGGCCCCAACAAGAUGAGGAUGGAGGCCAUUGGAGAUACUAUGAGACUUCAGGAUAUAAAAUGGGAAAGUGCCUGAAAAAUAUGGGACAUUGAGGAUAAGCAGGAUUUGGUGUUCAAGAAUGAGGGAAACAAUGCUGGUAUAUUGUGGAGUCUCUUAAGAAGGAAGGACAUGAACAUAUUAUAGGAUUUCAGUAUUAGGAAUGCUGGAUGGAUGAACAUUGCUUUCCAAGAAAAAUCCCCUAGUAAGUAGGGAACAGAUAGGAGAUCAUGUUGACUAUGGUCUAUACCCAUAAAUCCUUUAAGUAUCAUCUUCCAGCCUCUAGAAGGACCACGAUAAAUCUUAUUGGGAUAUGUUCUCUCUUGGAACCAGUGGGAUUUUAUUUUCUGUAACAGGAAAUUGGGAAACAGUGCUCAGCAGUUCUCCCUUGGCACCAUUCUGUCGUGUAUCAUAGUUUGCUUGGUUGCUUAUGCUUUUUGAAGGGAGGCCCCCUGGUCUUCCUUGAUUCUCCAUGGUGCGGAGCUCGGCCUUGCUAGGUACUCUGUCAACACAGGUUGAAUGAACAUGAGUAGUGGUGAGUAGCGGGAGGGCAGGCCUUCACUCUUGGUGUGUAUAGAGCAGGAACCUGAGUUCACAUCGUGAUGGGAUGUCCAUCCCCAGGAAUGGCCUGGGGGUGUUGGUGAAAGAUCCCUGACCUGGGGAUGUGGUGAGGGGGAGGAUUGCUAGAAUGUUGAGAGAUAGUCUUUGGAUGGGAGUUGGUAAUUAUUAUGGGAUGCUGUAGGGUGAAUUAGACUUCAUGUAAAUGUUUCAUCUGUCAGCUUGGUAUUUUGGUUGGUUGGUGUUCCUCAAAACUUAGGAGCUGGAGGUAAGCAUCUGGAAAAUACCUAGAUUUUGGUGGGACUGGGUGGGGCCCUAGGUGGGCUCCCAGCCCCCGAGUGUCUGGAAAUGAUGGUAUGAGGGAAGCUGGGGUCCCAGACAUCAGGAGGCUUUUUGCCAGGAUACUACUUUGGCCCAGAAAGGGAUUAAGGUGUGUGCAAGUGGGGGCGGGGACAAGGAAGCGUGGGUAGCCUGCCUGGCCCUCCCUGCUCUGGGUGUUAGAAUAGACUGACAGCGCCUGGAGAUGGGGGUGGGAAGAAUAUGAAUAUUAUGGGAUGCCUGGCUCGAAGGGUAUAGGGGUGGUAGAGUGGAGAUGAAGCAUUAUGGGAUGUGACACUGGGUUGUGUUGGGAGUAUUAUGGUAUGUUUGGUUGACCACGGGCUCCUUGCAAUUAUUAUGGGAUGUCAGGAUGUGGGUAGGAGAGUAAAAUUAUUAUGGGAUAGCUUUCCAGUGUUAGAGGAAAAGAGAUUAGAUGUCCAUCUGUGGGGCGACAGUAGGGCUGUUGAUCAUUAUGGGUUAUCUUUUUGAUAGAGGAGGGGUACUUACUAUAGGCUGUGGAGCUAGAAGAGGGAAGGCUGGGGGUGAUGUGAGCCUCUAGACCCUGGCCUGCAGGGACUGAGGGCAGCUCUAGGGGGUUAGUUAUUAUGGGAUGUCAGUAUAGAAAGUGGGAGACUGAUUAUUACGG
rnacentral:lncRNA from 10 species